rnacentral:misc_RNA from 1 species
GAUGAAGAACGCAGCGAAAUGCGAUAAGUAAUGUGAAUUGCAGAAUUCAGUGAAUCAUCGAAUCUUUGAACGCACAUUGCGCCCGCUAGUAUUCUGGCGGGCAUGCCUGUCCGAGCGUCAUUUCAACCCUCAAGCCCCCGGGCUUGGUGUUGGGGAUCGGCGAGCCUCCGCGCCCGCCGUCCCCUAAAUCUAGUGGCGGUCUCGCUGUAGCUUCCUCUGCGUAGUAGCACACCUCGCACUGGGAAACAGCGCGGCCACGCCGUUAAACCCCCAACUUCUGAACGUUUGACCUCGGAUCAGGUAGGAAUACCCGCUCAACUUAAGCAUAUCAAUAAGCGGAGGA